UACGUAGGGUGCUAGCGUUGUUCGGAAUCAUUGGGCGUAAAGCGCGUGUAGGCGGUUAGUUAAGUCGAUUGUGAAAUCCCUGGGCUCAACCGAGGAAGUGCAUUCGAGACUAACUGGCUAGAAGACGGUAGAGGAAGGUGGAAUACCUAGUGUAGAGGUGAAAUUCGUAGAUAUUAGGAGGAAUACCGGUGGCGAAGGCGGCCUUCUGGACCGAUCUUGACGCUGAGACGCGAAAGCGUGGGGAG
rnacentral:rRNA from 1 species